CAAAUGAAUUGACGGGGGCCCGCACAAGCGGUGGAGCAUGUGGUUUAAUUCGAUGCAACGCGAAGAACCUUACCUGGCCUUGACAUCCAGAGAACUUAGCAGAGAUGCUUUGGUGCCUUCGGGAACUCUGAGACAGGUGCUGCAUGGCUGUCGUCAGCUCGUGUUGUGAAAUGUUGGGUUAAGUCCCGCAACGAGCGCAACCCUUAUCCUUUGUUGCCAGCGG
rnacentral:rRNA from 1 species